UAAAAAUUCAGAAUAAAGUUAUUAGCAGACAUAGAGAUAGAGAAACGGAUCGAGAUACUUAGAGAGAUCGAGAUACUGAGAAGAUAAGAGAGGGACAGAUCGUGAAGAUAAGAUAGAUGGACGCAGAAGAUAAGAGCCGUAUGUGUUUGUUAAGUUCUGAAGUGAAGAACAGUGAGGAUAGGCAUUUCUGUGUCAAGGUCCUCCAUUUGGAUCUAACACAAAAAAGAAAGGAGUAAGAAUGGAGUGUUCUGUUAAUGGGGAUGAGUUCUGUGUUACCGUUGCACCGACAAAGAAGAUGAGGAAGGCCUUGUCUGCAACAACAUCUGCAUCAAAGAAAUCUGGUGAUAUACCACCAUUGUCAAAGGGAAAAGCAGCUGCUACUACACCAUCUUCUUCUUCAACAGGUUCCCAGAAAAAAGGGAAGACAACUGAUGGUGUUUGUUUGUAAUGGCGGACAUCUUAAUCACUUUAUGUUUGAAGUACUGAUGGUGUUUUUAACUAUUAUUGUUUAUGUAAGUGCAGAUAGUUUGGCAAUUAAAAUUAUGUAGUGUUGUUUUUUUGUUUU